CAUCGCAAGGUGGAAUCUGAAGGUGGAGGUAAACACCUGGCCUGACGAACAGAAACUUGAAGGCCUAUGGGCCUGGCUGAGGCUGCUAACCAACCCAAAGCCCUAUGCGUUUAUAUAGUCAGAUGCUCCACAAAGGAGG
rnacentral:ncRNA from 1 species